GACGAACGCUGGCGGCGUGCUUAACACAUGCAAGUCGAACGGAAAGGCCCUGCUUUUGUGGGGUGCUCGAGUGGGGAACGGGUGAGUAACACGUGAGUAACCUGCCCUUGACUUUGGGAUAACUUCAGGAAACUGGGGCUAAUACCGGAUAGGAGCUCCUGCUGCAUGGUGGGGGUUGGAAAGUUUCGGCGGUUGGGGAUGGACUCGCGGCUUAUCAGCUUGUUGGUGGGGUAGUGGCUUACCAAGGCUUUGACGGGUAGCCGGCCUGAGGGGGUGACCGGCCACAUUGGGACUGAGAUACGGCCCAGUCUCCUACGGGAGGCAGCAGUGGGGAAUAUUGCACAAUGGGCGGAAGCCUGAUGCAGCAGCGCCGCGUGCGGGAUGACGGCCUUCGGGUUGUAAACCGCUUUCGCCUGUGACGAAGCGUGUGUGACGGUAAUGGGUAAAGAAGCACCGGCUAACUACG
rnacentral:rRNA from 1 species